rnacentral:rRNA from 1 species
CACGUAGGCACCAAGCGUUGUCCGGAUUUAUUGGGCGUAAAGAGCUCGUAGGCGGUUCAGUAAGUCGGGUGUGAAAACUUUGGGCUUAACCCAAAGCGUGCAUCUGAUACUGCUGUGACUUGAGUUCGGUAGGGGAGUGGGGAAUUCCUAGUGUAGCGGUGAAAUGCGCAGAUAUUAGGAGGAACACCGGUGGCGAAGGCGCCACUCUGGGCCGAAACUGACGCUGAGGAGCGAAAGCAUGGGGAGCAAACGGG